rnacentral:rRNA from 1 species
UAGGGAAUCUUCCGCAAUGGACGCAAGUCUGACGGAGCAACGCCGCGUGAGUGAAGAAGGAUUUCGGUUCGUAAAACUCUGUUGUUAGAGAAGAACAGCGCAUAGAGUAACUGUUAUGCGUGUGACGGUAUCUAACCAGAAAGCCACGGCUAACUACGUGCCAGCAGCCGCGGUAAUACGUAGGUGGCAAGCGUUGUCCGGAUUUAUUGGGCGUAAAGGGAGCGUAGGCGGCAGUACAAGUCGGGAGUGAAAACUCGGGGCUCAACCCCGAGACUGCUCUCGAAACUGUACAGCUAGAGUGCAGGAAGGGCAGGCGGAAUUCCUGGUGUAGCGGUGAAAUGCGUAGAUAUCAGGAGGAACACCGGUGGCGAAGGCGGCCUGCUGGACUGUAACUGACGCUGAGGCUCGAAAGCGUGGGGAGCGAACAGG